ACUUCUUAGAGCACGGUUACAAUACCUUUUUACACUUUUUCUGUUAUGCCAAUGCUAUGAGUCCUGCUUUAAUCUUAUGGAAAUUGUCAUUUUUUUGUUUGCUUGUUUUAGCAAGGAAUAGACCCAGUUAUGUUCAGGCUGCAAGUUCUGUCUCAUCUCCUGUAUGCUGUGGCUCAAAUGUCUUUUGAAUUUUCAAAGCUUAAGAGGACUAAAAUAUUUUGAGGACUUAUCUAUGUGAGUGCCACUCAGUCUGGGACCUAGAUGGUGUUCAAACCCAUAAUACAGUGCUCAAAGGUUUGCAAUGGUUCUUAGGAUCAGAUCUAUGAAUGGGCAACUUACCCAUUGCCGUCGAGUCAACUUAGAGGUGACUUUAUAUGCGACUUUAUGAAAUCCCUGUCUUGAGCUGCUUCCUCUCUAUCUCUCUGAGGCUCUCUGACUUCUGAUGGGCUACCUUCCCGGUCCACUGGCAAGAAUGUUGGGGCUUUAAUCUCUUCAUUCUGCCACGCGGUUAAGUGACUGGGUCUGUCUAUGGGGCCAAAUAAUGGUAUGAUAGAGACAGAAAACGUAACAGACAUUCCUCUACACUCUUUGGACUUAGAGUGUUAGGUGUUUGCCCCCCUGCCUGCCUGCCCAUCUCUCUCCUUUACAGACCGUCUACCCCCCACAUGAUAGAAAGAAGGAUUGUCUUGGACCUAUUUCUAUCCACAACCUGAGUGUAGUUAUGAGAUUUGGGCUCAUUUAAUUUCAGCCUCUGGAAUAUUCAUACUUUAUGUUCUGGUUUCUUCCCGCAGCCACCUUCAACCAUUUCCUUUGCAGAGUCCUGAGAUAGCAUCCCAUGCAUUUGUCCAGAUACUUAGUUGUCAGAUGCCAGCAUAGCCACCGGGGAAGUGUUAGUUGUGGUUAGGGGGAGGGACUGUACACUGAAGGAGCUGCAAGACCUGGCUGCCUUGUGUGAGCAGGACCGGGGGGUGCUGAGGGAGGAGUGCUGAAGGUGCUGAGUCAAGGGGAGUUUAAUGUAAAGUUGGGUCAAGGAGAGUUUGUUGAUAUGGGGGGAACUCUCUCCUAAAAAGGAUUUAUUGCCAUUGUGGGGGUUCUGGAAAUGGGUUUAAUAUGCUACAGGGAUUGUGCUUGGAAGCUUGGAAAAGGCAAUGGCCCACAUUCUAUGACAUCAAAAUGCCGUUACUGCUGUGUCAGAUGUUGAAAAAUGGGGGAAAGUCUCCAACACAUGGACAUCCAGAGUGAGUUCUCUUAAGACCAUUUUUGAGAAGUCCUGAAGGACACUCCUCUCAUCAGAACAAUAAGGAAUGCAUGGUGCAGGGGAGUGGCAGCAAAGUGAAACUUAGAGAUGUCUGUUCUCUGGAGGCUUAGGUUGUGGGUGGGAGACAGCUGCCUAGUAGCAAUGGGAAUAAUGGGGUCCCAGAGCAGCAGAAGCCAGGUGGAAGCACUUAACUAUCAGAAACAAGGUGUAUGUCAUUACUGUAAUGGUCAGCAGGUCAAUAUAUUAUCUACUGGGGCAUAAAAAAUUAUCAUAAAACAUAGUAGAUAUUAGAUAAAUGGAAAAAUACUCCAUUUAUGCUAAUAAAAUUUGGAAGUAGACAAAUAUACUGUUAUUACUUUUAUGACCCAACAUACUUUUCUAGGUGAAUUAAUAAGCUAGAAAAGUUAAGUAAUGAAUUAAAUAUUAAAACAGAUUUUCUUCUUUUUAUGAUGAAAAUAUAAUUGCAUACCUAGAAAAUGAGGAUAAAAAUUUUGGUAAACUGACAAGCCAAAUAUACCAAAAUCAAUGACUUCUCUCCAGUCUAGACAUAGUGCCCAAAAUUGGAAGUAUCAGGGUGGGAGGAAUAAAGACAAUUUUCUUUACUACAUGAUUGCAUCAAAUUGUGUCCAAAAUCAUAAACUACUUAGGAAAACAUUGUUUUGACCGGAACAGAAAAGAAUCUAUUUGAAGAAAGUUCAUGUAGAGGAAGAAAUAAAAUUAAACCUUAAGAAUGCAAAAAAUAUGUUUUCUCAAAUGGGAAGUCUUGUUUAAUCAAUGGCAGUCCCCCAAAAUCAACAUACAAAUGUAUUGCAAUUCCCAUUAGAAUAUUUACCUCGUUAUUUGUUGAAUUGUAUACAGUAAUCUUAAGAUGCAAAUAGUAUAAUAGAUACCAAAGAACAGACAACAAAAACAUGAAAAAGAAGGAGGCUGCUUCAUCAACUAACGGAAUAUUACAUAGCAUAGGAACUGAAAGCUAGACCAAGGAAACAAAGUAGCAAAUCCACAGAGAUUAUCAUAAUAACCGUUAAUACAGAGGUGGUAUUUCAACUCAGGAAAAUUAUGGUUUAUCUUAUAAAUGCUGCUGACUCAACUGAUCAUUCUGGGUAAAAAAAAAAAAAAAAAAAAAACUUCUAAGAAUGUGAUACAUCAGCGAUGGAUCUGGGAAAUUAUGGGAAAUGUCGAUGAUAAGGAUUAACAACUAUUUCCGUUUUAUACAAGGAAGACAAAAAUUGAGGACUUGCAAAAUGAGCAAUGAAUUCAAAAGACCAUUCAGAGCAAAUACGAGUGACCAAUAAGCAUAAUCGAAGUUGUUCAAAAACACUGGUAGUGAAGAAAUUAUCAAAGUCCCAGUGAAACUGGCACAAUUUAAAAAUCUACACCACCUAUGGCUGGGGCCCGGGGGUGCUGUGGGGAGAAGGGUGCCUCAGACAUGGCUGGAAAGGUGCAUGAUGACAGCCUUUAGGGGAAAGACAUGGACAUGGCUCUGUAAUUUUGAAACAUUCUUUGACCUAGAAAUCUCACCCUUUGGAAUUUAUCCCAUGGAAGCAAAUCCUCUAGUAUACAAAGGAUGGUUAUUGUUAAUAAUGGCAAAAAAUCGACUGCUCAUGGAUGAUGGAAAGAUAGAUAAUUUAUGGUAGAGCUAAAUCAAUAAAAUUUAGGAGUCAUUAGAAUGAAAAAGAACUAGAGUAGUUAAAUAGUAGAAAUCUCUGUGAAGUAUUACUGAAGGAGAAAAUCAAGGUGCAGAGAAGUCUGUAUAAAAUGAGCACAUUUGGGUAAAGCAAUAGCAAUUGUUUGAAUAUGCUUGAAUACCUGUUUGUGUUUAUGUGAGUGUGUAAAUGAGCAGACGAAGAUACAUUUGUGUCUGUGUGUGCUUGUAUAAGCAAGGGUAAGAGAGACUACUUACCACAUUGUUAACCUCAAUUUCCUUGGAUUCACUUCUGGAAAAGGACUGGGGGGGAGGAGAGCUAGAACAUGCAGGAAGAGUGGACUUAGAAAGCACGGGUGAUAUGUGUUUCCACUUUAGUAGUGUUAUAUAUGAGUCAGUCUAGAUAGUGUACACAGUAAUUGUUCUCAUCUAUUUAAAUGCUUUAUGUGUAAAUAUGAGUUCAAUCUUAGAAGACCCAAAAAGGUAGUGUUAGUGUCAUACCUAAUGACCUUCAGGGAAUCAGCAAUUUACAGAGCACUGUGGGUAGAGUAUGACACAAUUUCCGUUAAAGCAAACGAACCAGGGGAUCUACUUGUGAACCUGUGACUGUGUGUAUGUGUCCCAGCUGAGAAAUGUAGGGAAAGAUACACAUGUGUCUAUUAACUUUGGACACCUUGGGGGUGCAGGACCAAAUUACAUAUGAGGGUGGGACCAUGAUUGUAACUUUUUCAUUAUACAAAUCUGUACCCUUAGAGGUGUUAUACAAAAGACUUUUAGAGCUUUGAAAGUUGAUAAACAUCAUCAUAGAUACAUUAUUUUAAAAACAUUUUGUUGGAUUUUUUUUGAACAGGGGGAAAAUAUCUUUAACAACAGACACAAAGAUUUUAAUCACUGGAAGAAGAGCACACCACAGACUGCUCAACAGUCAGAUCCAGCAGAUUUCACGCUUGUUCUUGGAGACAAUGAGCUCUUCUGGUCUCUACACCUGGAAAUGACCAGCGAGAAUUUUGUAAGGGUCCAUGAAGUUACUCCUCAAACGUUUCUUGCAGGUACAUGUCUACAGAUAAAGGAAGAAGGCUGGACACCACAUGCAGUUCACUAGUCAAAGAAUUGAAGAAAAAGGUCGACUCAGAGGAAAGAAGCAAACAGAGGGCAGGCUUCUAAACCCAGAGAGAACAGCAAGAACACAGUUACAGAUACCAGAAGAGCACAUUGGCUCCAGGAACAUGCAAGAAAUCCACUGAUUGUGAUUAUUACUGUCUGUGGUAUGCUCUCUUUUCAGUGAUUAAAAUCUUUGUCUGUCACAGAGAAUUUUCACCUAUUUAAAAAUAUAUGUCUAUGUCACUUACUGAUUUCCAAAGCUAUGAAAUUCUUUUUCAUUACAUGUUUAAGAAUACAAAUUUGUAUAAUGAAAAAUUACAUGCAGAGUCCCACCCUCAUGUAUAUAUUGCUCCUGCUCCCCCGAGGUAUCCAACGUUAAUAGACACAUGUGUACCCUUCCCUAGGUUUCUCUGCUGGGACAUGUAUACACAGUCACAGGUACACAAGUAGAUCUGCUGGGGUGUUUGCUUUUAUGGAAACUUGGUCACACUCUACCCACAUUGCUCUUGCCCCUUCUUUCACUUGACAUUCUAUCUUGAUUCUCUGUAAGUCAUUAGAUAUGGCACUAACUCUACAUUUUUAUGUCUUCUAAGUUACACACAUAAAUUAAAUAGAUAAUAACAAUUAUAGUACACUUUAUCUAGACUUAGACAUGUUGUUAGGUGCUAUCGAGUUGGCUCUGACUCACAGCGACCCUAUGCACAACACAACAAAACACUGCCUGGUCCUGGUUGCUAUAUUUGAGCCCACUCUUGUAGCUACUGUCAGUCAAUCUCAUUGAGGGUCUUCCUCUUAUUCGCUGGACCUCUGCUUUACCAAGCAUGGUGUCCUUCUCCAGGGACUGGUCCCUUCUGAUAACAUGUCUAAAGCCAUCCUUGCUUCUAAGGAACAUUCCAGCUUCUUUCAAGACAGAUUUGUUCGUCUCAUACGUAACACUACUAAAAUGGAAACAUUUUAUCACCUAAGCUUUUUAAGUCCACUCUUCCUGCAUUUUCCAGCUCUCCUCCCCCAUUCUUUCCCACGAGUGAAGCCAAGGUAAUUCAUUUCGACCAUGUGGUAAGUAGUCUGUCUUAUCCUUACUUAAAUAAGCACACACAGACAUACAUGCACCCUCGUCUGUUCAUUUAUACACACACAUAUAUGUGAACAGGUAUUCAAGCGUAUUCAAACAAUUGCUAUUGUUUUACACAAAUGUGCUCGUUUUUUAUAUACUUCUCUGCACCUUAAUUUUUUCAGUAAACUUUAAUAACACUUCACAGAGAUUUCUCCUACUUAACUACGACAGCUCUUUUUCAUUCUAAUGACUCCCUAUGUUAUUGAUGAUGUAGUUUUACCAUACAUUCUCUAUCAUUCCACCACCAACGGACAGUCAAUGUUUUGUCAUUGUUAAUAAUAAACAGCCUUUGUAUAGUAUAGGAUUCGAUUCUGUGGAGUAGACUCCACGGAGUGAGAUUUCCAGUUCAAAGAAUGUUAAAAGUACAGGGCCAUGGCCAUGUCUUUCCCCUAGAGGCUGUCAUAAAGCACCCUUCCAGCCAUGUCUCAGGGUUUCAUUCUCCCCACAGCCCAGCCAGCUAUAGGUGGUGUUGCUUUUUAAAUUGGGCCAGUUUCACUGACACCUUAAUAUUUUUUUAACUACCUGUGUUUUUGAGCAACUUGGAUUAUGUAUAUUGGGCAUGUGGAUUUGCUCUGAAUGAUCUGUUUGAAUUCACUGCUCAUUUUUCAAGUACUUAACCUUUAUCCUUCUGUGUAAAAUGUAAAUUUUUAUUAAUCCUUAUCUACUUUCACAUAAUUUUCCAAACCUAUGAUUUGUGUAUCAUAUUUUUGCAAGUUUUGUCCCCCAGAUCAGUUGAGUCAGCACCAUUUAUUAAAUAAAUACAAUUUUCACACCACCUUUGUAUGAAUGGUUAUUGUGAUUUCUUAGUAGAUUUUCUAUUGCAAUUGUCUACUUGUCAGUUUCUAUGCUAUGUAAUAUUGAUUUGUUCUGCUACUUGAUUGGGUAGACAUCUGUUACUAUUCUGCUAUUUCAUGUUUUUCUUGUCUAUUCUUUGGUAGUGCAGCCCUGCUGUUGCAAUGGCUAAGUGCUUGACUGCUAAAUGAAAGAAAGUUUGGCAGGUCGAACCCAUCCACUGGCUCUGAGGGAGAAAGACCUGGCGGUCUGCUCCCGUAAAGAUUACAGCCUAUAAAAGCCUAUUGGGCAGUCAAAUGGGAGGGCUAUGAGUCAAAAAUCUUGUCCAAGGCUCCAAACGACAACAUUCUUUGUUAUCUAUUGUACUAUUUGUAGCUUACGAUUAGUGUAUACAAUUAAAAAACAACUACCUGAAUAUUCUAACUGGAAAUGCAUUCCAUUUAUGUAUUAGUUUUGGGACCUCCAUUUAAUUAACAAGACUUCCCAUUUGGAAAUAUGGCAUAUUUUAUGCACAUAUUCAGGUUCCAUUUUAUUUACCUUAAUACAUUAGUUUUCUUUGUAUAGGUCCUUUGCUGCUCCAGUCAAAACAAUGUUUUCCUAAAUAUUUUAUAGUUUUGGACACAGUUUGCCACUGUCAAGUACUAGGGGAAAGAGAACGAUCAGCCCUUCCCACCCUUGCCAAUUUCAGUCCCUUAUGUCCACAUGGGAGAGAAACCAUUGAUUUUGAAGUACUUGUCUUUUAUUCGGGUAUGCAAUUAUAUCAUCAUUAUUUUGAAAAUCUGUUUUUGUACUUAUA